rnacentral:rRNA from 1 species
UACGGAGGAUGCAAGCGUUAUCCGGAAUGAUUGGGCGUAAAGCGUCCGCAGGUGGCUGUGUAAGUCUGCUGUCAAAGAGCGAAGCUCAACUUCGUAAAGGCAGUGGAAACUACACGGCUAGAGUGCGUUCGGGGCAGAGGGAAUUCCUGGUGUAGCGGUGAAAUGCGUAGAGAUCAGGAAGAACACCGGUGGCGAAGGUGCUCUGCUAGGCCGCAACUGACACUGAGGGACGAAAGCUAGGGGAGCGAAUGGG